rnacentral:rRNA from 1 species
GGAAGUAAAAGUCGUAACAAGGUCUCCGUUGGUGAACCAGCGGAGGGAUCAUUACCGAGUUUACAACUCCCAAACCCCUGUGAACAUACCUAUACGUUGCCUCGGCGGAUCAGCCCGCGCCCCGUAAAAAGGGACGGCCCGCCCGAGGACCCCUAAACUCUGUUUUUAGUGGAACUUCUGAGUAAAACAAACAAAUAAAUCAAAACUUUCAACAACGGAUCUCUUGGUUCUGGCAUCGAUGAAGAACGCAGCAAAAUGCGAUAAGUAAUGUGAAUUGCAGAAUUCAGUGAAUCAUCGAAUCUUUGAACGCACAUUGCGCCCGCCAGUAUUCUGGCGGGCAUGCCUGUUCGAGCGUCAUUUCAACCCUCAAGCUCAGCUUGGUGUUGGGACUCGCGGUAACCCGCGUUCCCCAAAUCGAUUGGCGGUCACGUCGAGCUUCCAUAGCGUAGUAAUCAUACACCUCGUUACUGGUAAUCGUCGCGGCCACGCCGUAAAACCCCAACUUCUGAAUGUUGACCUCGGAUCAGGUAGGAAUACCCGCUGAACUUAAGCAUAUCAAUAAGCGGAGGAA